CUUCAGCCAAUUAACGCAGCCUCGCCUGAUCCAGCGGCGCGCCGGCGCGGCGCUGCGGAGCUGCACUCCUGUCACGGUUUCCGCAGUUGCUUGUUGGUCACGCGUCAGGCGCCAGCCAAAGAAAGCUCCGGCCCGGGUGGUGAAUUAUUCAACCUAGCGGGGGAGCAGUGUGGCACCGGCAGUAGCGGGAGCAUAGUGACAGCUCAGGAGUGCGGAGCUCCGCCGGGAGGCGGGAGGCCCAGGCAGAACCCGUUCAGGGACUAGCAGCAACAAAUGAUGGCGUUGCAGCCAGAAGGGCCCCUAGGGAGGAAAGGCGAGGGAGCUGAAGUUAAGGUUAAGGUGAGGCCAUGAAAACCUUGGGAAGGAUUUGCUUUUUGUCUUUUUAUUCAAAGGAGACAAAUGGCUACAGAAAACAAAAACACAAAACAACCUCCGAGGGUUUACAUUCUGCAUGGAACUAAUGGUGGAUAUAUGACUUUAUGCAUUUGCUAAAACUCAUAGAAACUGCAUAACAGAGGGAACCCUAAUGCAAACUAUGAGCUGUAGUUAACAGUAAUGUACUAAAAAGAAAAAAAAAAUAAUGUACCAAAUUGGCUCAUCAAUAGUAACAAAUAUACCACCUAGUAGAAAAAUGUUCAUAGGGAAACUGAUGGAGAAAGAGGGGAUAAGUACUAUCGGAUCAAUUUUUCUGUUAAAAAAAACUACUGUGGUCUAUUCUUUUAAAUGAAAGCUCAGGUGAGGGAGAAGAUUCAAGAGGUAUCAAGGUGGCUGAACACACAGGGCUUGCUAACCUUUCACAUGGCAAGGGAAGUAGUUGGGAUAGUUGACAAGGCUUGAACUGGAUGGCAGGUUGGGACAUCACCCAGAUAGGAAACAUGUAGAUAAGCCCAAUGAUCACGUGGACACAGGCCAGCAGGUAUGAACUGGAGCUGCAGCUGCAGUAGCUGAAAGCAAACGCCUGUUUCCUUGCCUGCAAAAGGAGAGUGAUUGUGCCUCCCUCAAACCAGCCGCUGGGAAGCCCCCAAGACAGCAGUGCCCUUUGAAGAGCCCUGCCCUAUGAGGAGGCAUGGCCAGGACCCCAACUUUCUCCACAGCCCGGUUUGGUUUUACCUCUGAGCAGACAACAGAAUCUUGGAUGGAUGGCCUCCUCUAGAGCCAGCCAAGGCCAAGCUCACCACUUGACCACUUAGGGAACACAGCCUCCUGUCUCAGGAGUCCUGAGCAACCAGCCACCUUCCCCAGCAGGGGCUCCCCUUCACUUCCAGGACCGCCGCUCCAGCCGGGCUGAACUCUUACCUCAUCAGCCAUCUGGGUGAGGUCCCGCUUCAUCGCAUACGCAUCUUCACCAUCUGCAUAGUAUUUGGGCUCCACUUCGCUGAUCCUGGGGGUAGAAAGAAAACCCAAACCUGGGGG